CUGAUCGGUAGGAACAUACAGAAAUGAUGUUUAUUCAUAGCAUUUUGUUUUCAGUUUCUAAUUGUGUGAAUAAACUGUGAACAUUUGAUGGCAAUUUUGUAUUUCAGAAAUGAAGAUUCUGGAAGAGGGAAAAUAUUCAAGGCACGUGCUUCACUGCUGGAGUAAGUAGAGAUUUUAAAGGGACACUACAACUUCUGAUUCUUUGUAAUGCAUAAUGCAAAAAAAAAAAAAAAGCAUAAUACAUACAAAGAUACCACUUGGAUUUUGUAUAUCAAUUUGCAGCAAAUCGACAGGCUUUACAACUCCUACAAAAAAAGUAUUCUUAUUUUAUUUCAUCCUGGAGUUUUAAGAUAUUGUGUUUUUAAGGAGACAGAAACAAAGUACCUCACUGAUCCAUUAUCCAGGCAGAGAGCAUAAUGUUUGAGUUUUGGAGUGGCUCUAUAAGGAAGGUUAACUACCAACUAUCUUUUUUCUAACAAAUGUCUCCUGCCUUACCCCAAACCUUGGUAGUGACCUUCAAUAUUCAAUAUUGCUCCAAGCUGAAUAUAGGUUGGCAUUGGUUUGUUAGUACGUUAAAUUGCAUGAUUUAAAUACAAAUAUGAUGCUAGAUUGCAUCCUAUAAAAUGUAACUGUUUUAUAUAUAUUUAUUAUAUAUUUAGUGGAAUCUUGUAAAAAAUUUGUAAUGCGGAAUAUUAAAAAGCAACUUUCAUUGUUUUGUUAAUAUUAAAGGAUCACUAUAGUGUAAGGAAAACAAAGCCGUUUUCCUGACACUAUAGUGCCCUGAGGGUGCCCCCACCCUCAGGGUCCCCGUCCCGUGGUGCUGAAGGGGUUAAAACCCAUUCAGUUACUACUUUAAUCCAGCGCCAGGCUCCCUUGGUGCUGGUGACCUCUCCUCCCCGUCCGACGUCAGCUCCCCCGUCCGACGUCAGUGGGGCCGCAUGCGCGGCAAGUGUCCGCACACGCGCAUUUAAAGUGUCCAUAGGAAAGCUUUUCUCAAUGCUUUCCUAUGGAAAGCUCUGCACGAUGGAUGCAAAAUUUGCAUCCAGCGUUGCAGCUGCGCCUCUAGUGACGGUCCGGAAGACAGCCACAAGAGGCUGGAUUAACCCUGCUAUGUAAACAUACCAUUUUCUCUGAAACUGCUAUGUUUUCAUCUGAAGGGUUAAAACCUGAGGGACUUGGCACCCAGACCACUUCAUUGAGCUGAAGUGGUCUGGGUGACUAUAGUGUCCUUUAACUUUACGUGAGUCCCUGCUGAUUUACAGCACUAAGUAUUAACAUGCAGUAUAUAAAGUUGAAGUAUCAUCAAUGUUUAGGAUGCUGCCAAUACACACAGUAUCUGCUUUUAUGUCUAAUAAGAUAAUAUCUGUUAUUUGCUGUUUUAUCUCAGUGAACUGAUGGAGGUGGAACACUUUCGCACUAUUUAUCACAUGUUUGCGGCAGCAUUUUGCGUCUUUGUUAUCAGCACCGUGGCUGUGGAUUCUAUUGACCAGGGCAG